rnacentral:rRNA from 1 species
AACGCGAAGAACCUUACCAACUUUUGACAUGUCCCGUAUGAGCACCAGAGAUGGAGCUCUUCAGUUCGGCUGGCGGGAACACAGGUGCUGCAUGGCUGUCGUCAGCUCGUGUCGUGAGAUGUUGGGUUAAGUCCCGCAACGAGCGCAACCCUCGCCCUUAGUUGCCAUCAUUUAGUUGGGCACUCUAAGGGGGACUGCCGGUGAUAAGCCGGAGGAAGGUGGGGAUGACGUCAAGUCCUCAUGGCCCUUACAGGUUGGGCUACACACGUGCUACAAUGGCGGUGACAGAGGGAUGCAAAGGGGCGACCCUUCGCAAAUCUCAAAAAGCCGUCUCAGUUCGGAUUGGGGUCUGCAACUCGACCCCAUGAAGUUGGAAUCGCUAGUAAUCGCAGAUCAGCACGCUGCGGUGAAUACGUUCCCGGGCCUUGUACACACCGGAGUGC